UAAGCCUAGAUCUAAGUAUUCCAUGCUUUAAUUAUAGAAAUAGCAUCAGCUAUCCGGCAAAUAAUGAAUCCAAUUAGUAACAAAAAGUACAAAUCCUUGCACAUGUAAACACUUCAAUACCCAAAAAAAAUGGCAACGCAUAGCUUCAAAUUUGAGAAAAUUAAAAUAAAUGCCCCACAAAAGGAAAUAGUGUUGAAAUGCGAUUACCAAAAUUCUAACCAGCCAAGUAAUGCCAAAUGGGUCCAUGCCUCCUAUUGAAUUCCUUCUUUAUGUGCUCAGCUACAGCCUUCUUUACAGUCUACAUUGAGCUUCUCGAACACCAGACAUUUUAUUGAGGCCGACCGGGUCACCAGCACAAUCUCUUAUGCCUUUUCUGGCACCGUGGGUCACUCAAUUCUCAGCCAAUCAGUUAGAAGUUAACAAUUUAGAAUUAAGAACCAAAAUUGCUACAACAGAAAAUAAGCUAGUUCAGCAA
rnacentral:misc_RNA from 1 species